rnacentral:rRNA from 1 species
GGUGAACGCUGGCGGCGUGCCUAAGACAUGCAAGUCGAGCGGGGCAGGUUUAUACCUGUUCAGCGGCGGACGGGUGAGUAACGCGUGGGUGACCUACCCGGAAGAGGCGGACAACCUGGGGAAACCCAGGCUAAUCCGCCAUGUGGUCCUGUCCUGUGGGGCAGGACUAAAGGGUGGAUAGCCCGCUUCCGGAUGGGCCCGCGUCCCAUCAGCUAGUUGGUGGGGUAAAGGCCCACCAAGGCGACGACGGGUAGCCGGUCUGAGAGGAUGGCCGGCCACAGGGGCACUGGGACACGGGCCCCACUCCUACGGGAGGCAGCAGUGAGGAAUCUUCCGCAAUGGGCGCAAGCCUGACGGAGCGACGCCGCGUGGAGGAGGAAGCCCUUCGGGGUGUAAACUCCUGAACUGGGGACUAAAGCCCCGUGUAGGGGGAUGACGGUACCCAGGUAAUAGCGCCGGCCAACUCCGUG